CUACGGGUGGCAGCAGUGGGGAAUAUUGCGCAAUGGAGGAAACUCUGACGCAGCCAUGCCGCGUGAGUGAAGAAGGCCUUAGGGUUGUAAAGCUCUUUCAGAUGUGAUGAUGAUGACAGUAGCAUCAGAAGAAGUUCCGGCUAACUUCGUGCCAGCAGCCGCGGUAAUACGAAGGGAACUAGCGUUGUUCGGAUUUACUGGGCGUAAAGAGCAUGUAGGCGGAUUGGUCAGUUGGGGGUGAAAGCCCGGAGCUCAACUCCGGAACUGCCUUCAAUACUGCCAGUCUAGAGUCCGUAAGGGGGUGGUGGAAUUCCGAGUGUAGAGGUGAAAUUCGUAGAUAUUCGGAGGAACACCAGUGGCGAAGGCGACCACCUGGUACGGUACUGACGCUGAGAUGCGAAAGCGUGGGGAGCAAACAGGAUUAGAUACCCCAGUAGUC
rnacentral:rRNA from 1 species